GACUGCAUUGGAACUGGCUAUGUCCUUCAGAAACCUUCUUUACCUGGGUAGGCCCAAACAGCUCAGAACUAAAGCCAGCCAAAAUGCCCACAAUCCCUGCCUCCCCAAGCCCAAACCUGAUUCCUUGGAGGCAGGGAGGAAAGGACAGAUUCCAGAAAUAAGAACCAACAGGACGCCUUUGCCCCAGGGCUCACCCCAACCUUCUCAGGCCUGGACAGAAGCCCCCAGCAGUUCACGGAGCCCUGGAAGAAGAGAGCAUUUGCAAAGACAGCCAAACAAAACAGGUGCUGGAGGUGCAGUGCUGAGCAAGGGAUGAGGCCCCUGUCCCACGGAGUGCAAGCUUCUCGCUAGAGGAGGCAAACAUGAAACACACUUAGACUCAGACCAAAGGAAGUUCCAGGGUGCUGUGUAGAGCCAGCUCUCCAAAGGACCUGAGCUCCCUGCUGCUGCCUUUAAACUGGGAGCCUGGGAAGAGCCAGCUGGGACUCGGAGCUACGCCAGCCCUUCAUGUGGGGCUGAAGUCUUAAGACCUGGAGAGCAGCCCCAAGGGUGGAGAAGCGGCUGCUGAAGGGAUCAGCAUGCGCUGGCACAGGAAGUCUGUUUUCCAUGUGUCUGGAACCCAGCCGAAGCUUCCUGGGGUAAUUUUAACCAGUAUCCACUCUAGAACAAUACCAAAAAAGGGCUGGAAGAAAGAAUGAUCUACAUUGACACUUCUCAACUUACGAGUGUCUGUUAAGACUGUGUUGGGCUGGAGGAAAGGCAGUAAUCAACUCCAUGUUCCACGUGAGGAAACUGAAGAUCAUGGAAGGCAAGUCGAGAGCCCCAAGGUUAUCCAGCUUCAAGGUCACCAGUCACCCAGCUUCCUUCUUUCGUGCAGCCAGAUGCCCAUCCCAGUACUAGGUUGCGCUGUGGGGAUUGUGGAGUAGCCCUCUACCACCUAGGGCCCUCAUGUGUUUCCUUUAUUUGAGACAGGGUCUCACUCUGUCACCCAGGGUGGAAGUGGCCCAGUCACAGCUUACUGCAGCAUCAGCCUCCCCAGGCUCAAGUGAUUAAGGCCUCCCUCUGCCUGCCCCACCCCCACUGUGUUUAUAUUGUUGGGAAACUUAAUCCACGGAAAUAAAGUGUGGAUUAUUUUUAUUGAUCACUGAGCAAGGAAGCGGAGCUACAACCAAGAGAGGACGCUGCUGCCAUCGUUAUCCAGGGCAAUGGGUCUUGAUUCCCAAAUCGCAGCCUGCUGUGCGCCCUGAUCACGUGGAGCUAUAAGAAAUAGCACUUCCUGGGCCUCACCGCUGGAGGUUUGGAUUGGGCAUGGGAAUCCCUAGGUGAUUCUGAUGCCGGCACUGGGAAGGCCCAGGUCCAGCAUAAGAGACAGACUGGAACACCGCAUGGAAGCGCCACACCUGAGAAGGGCGUCCGAGGCCCACAGAGCAGAGGAAGUGACAUCUGGGGAAAGCCUUGCAGGCACUUCCAUGGAGACUUGAAGAACAAUGAGGGCAGUGCUCUG
rnacentral:lncRNA from 1 species